AAUUACUUUGAUAAAAUACAUAUUUUGUUGCAUGCAACAUAUUUUGUUGCAUGGACCUAUUAGGUCCAUAAAUUACCAUAUAGCAUAUAUUCAACACAAAAAACAGCAACAAUUUGUUGUUGACAAAGGACAGCUGGACAUAGAAAGGACCCCAUUACCUUCAGUAGCUUAUUAAAGGGACAUCAUCAAUAAGGGACAGCAGCGGGACAUGGUGCUGGGAUAAGGGACUGUCCCGCCAAAUAAGGGACGCUUGACAGCUAUGGUACAGGCAGCAUAAUGACUGCAAUGAAAAUACUGUAGCAAUGCCAGCCCCCUGAACGUCUUUUCUGCAAGGCACUGUCCACUCACCCCAAUUCCUGUCUAGUGCCCCUGUUGUUUGGAAGCACUCUUAUCUACUUAGGAAAAAAGCAAGUUCUAAAAGACAGGAAGCAAGUCUGGAGACAUUCUCAUCAGAGAGGCUUUAGUACAGAGACAGGUGAUUUUCUUCAGAGUUUGAAUGCUAGCUGCUGUUCUCAUGCCCGCAUAGCUUAGCACAUUCCAGGAUCUGCCAAGAUAAAGGAAACAAACUGUUCCGACCAGGUGAAGUCAAAUUUAACACAGGCACAGCACGCAAGGCUGGUGCCUUGUGAUCAUUUUAUCUUUAAGGAAAAGUUGUUGCUUUCUUCUCCCAGGUGGGCCCCAAGGCCAAGACUUUCUGGGUCCUGAAAAAAUGAAUUUCACCCUUUCCCUUAAGGCUGUCAUUCCUCAGGCCAAUGAGGACAGACUGCUGUGCUUCCAUCUCUCCAUCCUGCUGCAGAAGUGUGCUUUAAUGGAAAUCCUGUGAACCAAACAUCAAGGCUAUUGUCCACUUUCUACUAGUUGAGAAGGAGCAACUGCCAAUGCUCAGCUGCAAUCGUGGGCAUUCUGACAGUUUUUC